CACGUAGGGUGCGAGCGUUGUCCGGAAUUAUUGGGCGUAAAGAGCUCGUAGGCGGUGUGUCGCGUCGGCCGUGAAAACUUGCAGCUUAACUGUGGGCGUGCGGUCGAUACGGGCAUCACUGGAGUUCGGCAGGGGAGACUGGAAUUCCUGGUGUAGCGGUGAAAUGCGCAGAUAUCAGGAGGAACACCGGUGGCGAAGGCGGGUCUCUGGGCCGAUACUGACGCUGAGACGCGAAAGCGUGGGGAGCGAACAGG
rnacentral:rRNA from 1 species